rnacentral:lncRNA from 1 species
GUGAGAAGUUUAAGGAUAUAUAAGGAGUGGUUUUACCAGUCCAAUCUUUUCCCAAUGAGUUUCUGUAGCCAAGCAGAGGUUUGAACUCAUGUCUCCUGGAUCCUACUGUGUCCUUCUGUCCACUGUUCAACACUGGAUAUCCUCACUGCACUUACCAGGACAUAUUUUUCUUUGAAUUGUUUUUGCUUCAAACUGGUACAUUCAGUGGCACUGACAAUGUAGAGAAUGGUUAAAUAUGGAUUCAGUUCCAGACUAUGAGCUGCGUCUCAUCACACUCUCACUUUCCCAGACAGUGGAAAGUGGUCCUAAGCAUGCAGUAGUGCUUCAUUUCCUUUGUGCUGGGACCAACAGGCACACAUUAAUGUCCCUCAGGACAGCAAAAACCAACACAGUGUGAUUCCUCCGGCUGGGAAGAUGUGGGCUCCAGAUGUUCUUGGACUGAAAAACCAAUGAGUUCUACAUAGCAUAACCAAUGGUGUGGGAUGAUGAGAGCUGUAGUCCAACAGCAUCUGGAUGACAAGUGCUGAUCCCCUUGAGUUAGUCAUCAUAGUAGAGACGUUGGCCAUUGUGUAAGGGACCAUUGUUUCUACAUUUGGUUCUGAAUAUUUAUUUAUUUUUGCAGAGGAUUUACUAAUUCCUGUUAGUACUCUCAUGUUAGCCUCAGACCAAUUAAUCUGUAAUUCCCCCAAAUUUAAUGAAUGCAUUAAUCUGUAUUUUCCUCAGACUUCAUCAAUGUGUAGCACACCGUUCUCUCAACCAAAACUUGAGGCAAAAGGCAGAUUUCUCCACCUAGCGUAUUCCUUGAAUUCUUUUGCUGGAAGGAUACAAUUGGUACUGGGACUCCUAUGUGCUAACCCAACCAUGAGAAACCCAUUUUGGAGGUUAGUAGAAGUGACAGAGAAGUUAAAAAGGCAUUUUGUUCUGCGGAUGGAUAUUUGGAAUUCUCUUCAGCCCUGGGUAGGAAGAACUGCUCUCACAUAUUGGGGGCAAUUUUUGGAAAAUGUACUAUAUGCCAUAUCUGGGUUGUGUGCAAGGACACCUCCACAUGCUAACAGCACUGACCUGCAGAAGAUAUCAGGUCCUAAGAGCGACCUCUUAAAGCCAUUUCUGGCUAAGCCUUUGUACUCAUUUUUGAGCACUUUUGAUAUUGGCAGAGGCACUUUUAUUUCACAAUAGGCAGAGGACUGUUUGCCCAAAGAAAAAAACAGACCAAUUCUUUCACAAACCUCCAUUCUCAGUGCCGCCUUCCAAAUUUUGGACAAAAUGUUUAGUAAACUGUCCAAUCUGCUCUAGAGCAGCGGGUUCUUUUGCUCAAUGAUGAAAUCUCUGAGUAAGUGUUGAAAAAUGCCACCCAACCAACUUGGUGGCAUUUCAAGGCAUGUGCUG